ensembl:lncRNA
AAGCUGCUGUGUCAAGAAAGGCAAUACUCCAAACAACAGCCCUGGACAUUUUUCCAGCCAAGAUCUUUCGGACUGCAGGAACAAUAAUGGAGGGUAGUGACCUGGAGUUAAAAUGUAGUACACAUGGACGCAAAGAUGAACAAAAAAUUGUACAUGUUUAUUUGUGCAAGAAUGGUGUUGCUGUGGAAAAAAUCAUGAAUAGAAAAGAUGAUACUAUUUUCACCCUGAGAAAUAUCGACAGACAACAGAGUGGUAAUUACAGCUGUGUGUUCUCUAAUAUCUUGUACACACUCUCUGAAGUCCGAGAGAAAGGGGACAAUUCCAUUUACAUCCAGGUGAUCGAUCGGAUUCUCCCUGCAGUCAUAUCAAUUACAGGCUCAAACUCAGCAAAACAGGGAGAUGUUGUGGAGUUUAAGUGUACUAUUUCAGACCCCAUACAUACCAGUGAAUUAGUUCACUCUUACCUCUGCAUGAAUGGAACUCAUGUUCAGGUGCAGGUUUUUGAUGUUUAUAGAAUGGAGGCAACUUUUACUAUUAAGGAUGUUAAACUGAAUGACAGAGGGAACUACAGCUGUGUGCUUGACCUGCAACCAAAACGCAAUGAAUUUACAGAGAGGCAAUUAUAUGGAAGCAAUACAGCAUUUCUUCAGGUUGAUGUGUGGAGUUAUCAAAUCCCAGUGGUCAUGUUCUGUGUCUGUCUUCUGCUGGUCUUUUUACUGAUUGUGGGCAUUUACUGGCUGAUCAGAAAACAAGGGGUUGGGAAUCUGUGUUGUAGAAGAACACCACCAAAUGAUGUUCAAUUAUCAGAUGAAAGGGAAAGUAACAUUUCAAACAUGGAGGAAGAAUCCUGUGAUGAAUUUGACAGUUUGUCAGAGGAAGAUAUCUCAUACCAAAAUGUUCCGGAUUUAACACAGACCAAUGAUAUGAUAGAAGAUCCAGGACAAGAGGCUGAUGACACAUACCAAGAUAUUUUGGAUUUUACCAGGAUCAAGCAUACAGUUGAAGUUCCAUGUCAAGGUUUUAAUCAAGGGGCAGGCUUCCCUCCCCCACAUUAAACCAAGGACCUUGUGGGUAACCUUAAAAACUCUAAGGGACACAAAAGCAUCUGAACAGAGAACAGAUGAACUGAUGGUUUAAACUGAUCGACAAUUAAUGGAUAACCCAAUGAUCUUCUGGGACUUCCAGUUCGGACACCUACCGCUGGAAUGAAACGUAAUCUAGAAGAUGUUGGAGGAUCAUCCGGUUUGGUAACCAUAAGAAUAAGGCAGAAAAUAUUAAUAAAAUAAAAUGUUAUGUUUUUGUAUCCCUUGUGUCCAUUUUCAAUUGCAUUUUAUAUUUACAAUGUGUUUUGUUCCAAAAAAAGACACAACUUCUAAAGUGUUUCAUGGGCUAAAAUAAAACAUUCCAGAAUUGUUCCAUACACAAAAAAAAUAUUUCUUUUAAAUGUACCUCAGUGGCCUACUAGAGCUUAAAUGUGACCAACUACCCAUCUUUUUUUUUACCACCACAUCACUGAUAUUAAAACAGAAUUUGAUUUCUAUAAUUCAUUUGACUGUUAUACAAUAAUCUCUGUACUCCAUUGUUGUUUGUCAGUGCAGAGUUUGAUUAGAUACGC